rfam:Triticum aestivum genome assembly, contig: Triticum_aestivum_CS42_TGACv1_scaffold_212466_3AS
AUUCUACUCCCUUUGUUGCACAAUACAUGCCUUCUAUCUGUCAAAAUAUAUAUGUAUCUAGACAUGUCUUAGUAUAUAGGUACAUCCAUUUUUGGACAAAUGGAAGUCAAGUAUUUUGGAACGGAGGGAGUACAUA